UCUGGUUGAUUCUGCCAGUAGUCAUAUGCUUGUUUCAAGGACUAAGCCAUGCAUGCCUCAGAAUAACUGCACUGCAGGAGUCUGCGCAUGGCUCAUUACAUCAGACGCAAUCUGCCGCAAAAAUGUUGCGGAAACGCAUUAUUGGAUACCUUGUGCGAAACGCCAAGCUAAUACAUGAACUAAAGGGAUCGUCCCGUUCCACACGCCGUAGGCUUGCCGAAAGCGUGGUGGCCGACCCUGCGGAUGAAUGAAAGUACAAACCAACGCCCUUUACCGGGCAGUAAUACGGAGAAGUGCUGAAUCAAUUCAUUUUUGCGUAAGCUGGCCUAGCCAGCGUCUUUUGACGAACAACUGCCCUAUCAGCCAGUGAUGGCCGUGUAGUGGACUGCCAUGGCGUUGACGGGAGCGGGGGAUUAGGGUUCGAUUCCGGAGAGGGAGCCUGAGAAAUGGCUACCACUUCUACGGAGGGCAGCAGGCGCGCAAAUUGCCCAAUGCCAAAACAAAUGAUGAGGCAGCGAAAAGAAAUAGGUGCCCCAAAUACCUCGUGUGUUUGGGGCUUUCAAUGGGGGAUAUUUAAAACCAUCCAACAUCGAGUAACAAUUGGAGGACAAGUCUGGUGCCAGCACCCGCGGUAAUUCCAGCUCCAAGAGCGUAUAUUAACGCUGUUGCUGUUAAAGGGUUCGUAGUUGAACUGUGGAGUAUGAUGCCGAGGCCUACCCUUUUCCCACGGUCUAGGGAAACCUCGAUCCUCCUCCGAGAACGUCAGAAACUAAGAUCACGGGAGCGUUUCAUACCAAAUGGCCGCCGAUUACGCGAGCAAUGUUCGUUGGCGGACGUCCGUGUUCAUUACUGUGACUAAAGAAGUGCGACUAAAGUAGUCCAUCGACAUGAAUUAGAAAGCAUGGGAUAACAAAGGAGCAGCCUAUGAGCUAUCGUUUAGGCUUUUGUUGGUUUUAAAAGUUCGUGGGAGAUUACGGGCUGGCAAGACCGGUGUUGUGGAGCUUUUGGGUUCCCUCAUCUCCCCCUUGUAUCGGAAACGGUGCCUGGGGGCUUGUCAGACUCAGGAAUGAAGGAGGGUUGCUCGGGGGGAAACGUACUUGGGCGUGAGAGGUGAAAUUCUUAGACCGCCCAAAGACGAACUACAGCGAAGGCAUUUUCCAAGGAUACCUUCCUCAAUCAAGAACCAAAGUGUGGGGAUCGAAGAUGAUUAGAGACCAUUGUAGUCCACACCACAAACGGUGACCCCCAUGAAUUGGGGAGUUUUUGUGGAGGCGCCUCCCGGCUUGUCCGGGUGGGCGUCCCGCAAUAAAGUAUUCAACCUACGUGCACGUUCUAUCCAGCAGAGAGGAAACUCUCUGCCUUGACGGGAACAUCCUCAGCACGUUCUCUUACUGUUUCACGCGAAAGCUUUGAGGUUACAGUCUCAGGGGGGAGUACGUUUGCAAGAGUGAAACUUAAAGAAAUUGACGG
rnacentral:rRNA from 1 species